CAAGCCCUCAUUCCCACCCUGUUUACCUCACUAAUAAGAUAGGAUCGGUGACUGAAUCUCAUGUGUGGCAAAAUCUUUUUAAACUCUCCAAGACAUCACACAUCAUCGGCUCUCAUUAACACGGAUAUUCUGAACACGGUUAAAUGGUCUGCUGGGGAGGUGGCCUCCCUGAGUUCAGUUAAAUGGUUCCCUUCCUUCCCCCCAUUCUCCCCACUGCCAACCACCUGCAAAGGCAGAGUAUGAUGUGGGUGGGUAUCUACGACAGGAAGGCUGUUACCUACUCCCCCACAACACAGUUCCUAAUUAAAACAAAAUACCAUCUGUUAACAUUUCCCUCUUUCUUCCUCCUUUCAUCCGUGGGGGUUAUUGUGAUAGUUGGGAUCCCGGUGGUGUAAAAAGAGUCAUCCCAAGGUGUUUCUCUAGAAGGAAAAGAAUCAAGACAUCUGUGUAUGACGCACUAAGGUAGUCAUUGGCAACCUCCCUUCCAUUUCCGGGUUGGCUCAUUGUUUACCUAAUUGCCAGUAAUAAUAUUUCAUUGUGUAAAGAAUGUUGGCACCCGGGGCCCAGGUUGCAGUUUAUUGAUGGCUCAGAGUUUAUGAAUUGAUGCCCUCAGCAGGUUGCUGCCCUGAUGAAUGGCAAUUACUGCGGCUCCCACAGAGGCAAUUGUAGUCAGAGCAUUUACUCCUUUCAAAUAAUUGCCCCUGAGAAGUUGAACAGUAAACCCAGUGCACCGAAAACAGCCAGGUAUCUCUCCUUCAAGGCAAUCUGCCCAUCGUUAUUCAAAGUACUAGGGGUUUAAAAAGUGUCUUAGCAUCAUCAUAUUUCAGACUGGAGGCUCUGACAUCCAAUGCUAACCUUGAAACUCUGUCAUAGAAUUGGUUGCUCAAAACAGAAAUCAAAAAGAAGGUAAGAGAGAAAAGAAGAAGAUGAAGAAUUCUGCAAGAGAAAGUAGAGGCAGAGAAAGAAAGGAGAAAAAGAGGAGAUACCAUGGCAGAGAUGAGACAACAGAUCAUUCCAGGCCUUUCUUGGUGUUCCUGGCCAUCUGCCUGACAUCCAGAGUUGCCUGCAUUCUGACAAGACAGAGUGGCUCACCUAGCUUCAGAACAACAUCAGAAGUGCCAACACAAAGUAGACCAGAUACACUAUCCAAAAUACCCCUCCGUGGUUAUUCCAAACCAGGACUAAGCCAGGAGUUGUUCCAAAAAUAUAUCACUAUAUUUUGGCCUGAGUGUCACUUCCCCACUUGGCAAGCUAGGGCUAGAGACAUUGGAACAGAGAUUUCCUGUUAG
rnacentral:lncRNA from 12 species